GCCUACGGGGGGCAGCAGUGAGGAAUAUUGGUCAAUGGACGCAAGUCUGAACCAGCCAUGCCGCGUGCAGGAAGACGGCUCUAUGAGUUGUAAACUGCUUUUGUACGAGGGUAAACGCAGGUACGUGUAUCUGUCUGAAAGUAUCGUACGAAUAAGGAUCGGCUAACUCCGUGCCAGCAGCCGCGGUAAUACGGAGGAUUCAAGCGUUAUCCGGAUUUAUUGGGUUUAAAGGGUGCGUAGGCGGUCGGAUAAGUUAGAGGUGAAAUAUUGGGGCUUCACCUCACUACGCCAUUAAUACUGUAGAG
rnacentral:rRNA from 1 species